rnacentral:ribozyme from 1 species
UGAAGUACAAUCCUGCUGAGAUCAUUUUCGACGACAAACGCAGAACCUUCACCUGGAAAACGGUACUGGCUCCCCCACAUUCGACAGACACCAAGGAGAAC